UGCAGCCUCAGUUGCAGUGGACAGCCCA
rnacentral:piRNA from 1 species